UUUUUCUUCAGUAGGAUAGAAUUUUUCUUUCAUGAUGUAGGCUAGAUAUUUUUUUCUUAACUUUUUGCGUUGUUCAGACUUUUCUUUGUUCAGUUCUUGUGCAAACUCUUCCAUCUGCUUUACUUUUGUGAGGAAGAAAUCCAGUCUUUUAGCAAUGCCUUCUUCGCUUAGACCUUCACUUUCACUCUUAACUUUAGCUCUUAGUUUAGCUUGCCUUGCCUUGAUUUUGAGGUAAUCAUCCAUAUCCUCUGGUGGAUGCAAGACCUAGAUGUUGCAUGUAGCCUAUGAGUGAGGAGAAUCUUCUUUUUGAAGGAUCUUCUUCUGUAUAGAAUUGCCUCAUCUCAUUUUUGAUAGCUUCAAGUUCCAGUGGAUAUUGUGCAGCAUUAGGAUCAUGUAUGCCCUCAUCGGCAGAGAUUG
rnacentral:lncRNA from 1 species